ensembl:lncRNA
CAGUGGGCUUCCAAAUCUCCAUUUCUUCUUUGAAGUUCACAGAUCUGGAUGGAUGAAGCUAUCACAGAGUGCUGACAUCUUUAGAUGCCUUCUCCCAAAAUGAGACAAAUAAUAGGAUUCAUGAUUCUGGCUGAGCUUCUGGCUUACUUGAUGCAUGAAAGAUUUGCAGCUAUACAAACAAGGAACUUCUGAGGGUCACCGCAUGGCUCCUGCAACUCCAGCCAUUGAGCCCUUGCUCAAGGAAGAAAGGAGGAGGAAAGGAAAGCACCAAUCAUAUCUUUUUCCAUUUCAUUGAGAGAGGCAAAAUCUCUCUCAGAGUUCUGACAGAGAUCUAUUAAAUCUCAUUGGUCU